CGCAUCGAGGAAACGCCCCCUCCCCUACUCGGCACGCGCUUCGAAGCCUCGAUACGGAACGUUACAUCACUACAUUUUGGUGAUAGGUAACAGUCUUUUACAGCUACAUCUGUCAGUUUUGUCAAGUGGCCACAAGCCCAAAGCAACAAAAUGUCAAGAGGAAGGAUGCCAACUUCUCCAGUCUUCUGUUUUGAUGUGUUUUAUGUUAUCCUGUUAAAAUGUUGAAUUGUUCAAGAGAAAUCUUUUUUUUCCUUGUUUAAAAAUUGUUGACAAGAUAUUGUCUAUUUUAAAGUGUUUAAAAUUCGUAGUUCAAGAGAAAUUCUGUUUUACAAAGUUCAAAUUGUUCUAGUGAAAUUAUUUUGUGUUUUCAUAAAAUACAAAUAUGGAAAAAUAAAUGAACCCUUGGAGUGAAA